rnacentral:misc_RNA from 1 species
GGCGGGUAGGGUCUCCGCGACCCUCCCGGCCUCCCGCCUCCGGGCGGGUCGGCGCCCGCCGGAGGAUAACCAAACUCUGAUUUAACGACGUUUCUUCUGAGUGGUACAAGCAAAUAAUCAAAACUUUUAACAACGGAUCUCUUGGUUCUGGCAUCGAUGAAGAACGCAGCGAAAUGCGAUAAGUAAUGUGAAUUGCAGAAUUCAGUGAAUCAUCGAAUCUUUGAACGCACAUUGCGCCCGCCAGCAUUCUGGCGGGCAUGCCUGUUCGAGCGUCAUUUCAACCCUCAAGCUCUGCUUGGUGUUGGGGCCCUACAGCCGAUGUAGGCCCUCAAAGGUAGUGGCGGACCCUCCCGGAGCCUCCUUUGCGUAGUAACUUUACGUCUCGCACUGGGAUCCGGAGGGACUCUUGCCGUAAAACCCCCCAAUUUUCCAAAGGUUGACCUCGGAUCAGGUAGGAAUACCCGCUGAACUUAAGCAUAUCAAAACC